rnacentral:rRNA from 1 species
AUUGAACGCUGGCGGCGUGCUUAACACAUGCAAGUCGAGCGGUAACAGGUGUAGCAAUACAUGCUGACGAGCGGCGAACGGGUGAGUAAUGCUUCGGAAUCUUCCUAGUAGUGGGGAAUAACCUGGGGAAACUCAGGCUAAUACCGCAUACGAACUACGGUUGAAAGCAGGGGAUCGCAAGACCUUGCGCUAUUAGAUGAGCCGAAGUCGGAUUAGCUAGUUGGUGAGGUAAAGGCUCACCAAGGCGACGAUCCGUAGCUGGUCUGAGAGGACGACCAGCCACAAUGGAACUGAGACACGGUCCAGACUCCUACGGGAGGCAGCAGUGGGGAAUAUUGGACAAUGGGGGCAACCCUGAUCCAGCGACGCCGCGUGUGUGAAGAAGGCCUGCGGGUUGUAAAGCACUUUUAGUGGGGACAAAAAGCCGAGGGCUAAUACUCUUCGGUCUUGAUUUAACCCAAAGAAAAAGCACCGGCUAACUCUGUGCCAGCCGCCGCGGUAAUAC